GAGGCAAUUUUAGAAGACAAACUUGUCGUGAUAAUGCUGUUCCAACAACUUGUCUACAAGCUUGCUUUUGGAACAGCAUUGACACAACUUGUUAACAAGCUUAGAAGCUUGCUACAAGCCGGUUGAGAACAUAUCUUGUAGACAAGUUAUUGGAACAGCAUUAUCACGACAAGUUUGUCUUCUAAAAUUGCCUCAGCCAGCAAUUUAUUUUGCGCCGCCAUCUUGGAUGUUUACUUUCGUAUACUACGCAUGCGCUGUUACGACAAUCCGUAAGCAGAUAGCUUUCGUUCGCCGCACACGAAAGAUUUUGGCACGCGAGGCAGAAAUUAUCAAACAUGUUAGAUAUUUGGCGUAAGUGGCACGAAUGACAAAAGUCGUUCGUAAAUCGCCCGCACACGAGAGCUAUCUCCUUACGCCAACAGUCACGAAUGACAUUUUGCUAAGCACAUAGCUCUAGUGUGCGCCGGCCUUAAGACAUACUAACUGAAUAUCUAACACUUUUCUAGUUCGCUAUUGUAAAUGAA